GGAUUCUGGGAAAUGUAGUAAAGAAGAGAGUCACCAUGUGAUCCCAGGGAAGAGAGGAUGCAUGCUGCUGGUGUCCUUGAUAAGGCUAAAUGUUUCUGUCCUGUAAAAUUCAUGGCGAUGUCCUGUUGCCAGUGUCAUGGUCUCUAGAAUGGCGUUUUGAGGCAGCGAUUAGAACAGAUGAAAUUGGGACAAUGAGACUCUGGCUGAUGACAUUGGUGACCAUCCAAGAUGACAUCCUGGAGAACGUGUCAUCUCCCUCCUACUGUGAACACAGGUUAUGUGAGCACACAACAAGAUGGCCAUGCAUAAUCCAAGAGAAGUCACCUCAGAAUGAAACCGUCAUCUUUAUCUUGGACUUUCUGGCUUUCAGAGCUUCGAGAAAUGCUUUCUGUUAUGGAAGCAGCCAUUCUAUGGUAUUGUGUUACAACAAACAGAACAAGAUGGUGCCUCCUUCUAAACUUCCUCUUUUCUAAAGGCUAUGGGCAUACUGAAUUUGACUCACUCUAAUGAUGUCCUUAAAAUUACAGAUGUAAAUUUAGUUACAUUGUGUAAUAUCCCAGAUUAGGUUUUUUGUUUGUUUGUUUGUUUGCUUUGUUUUUUUGUUUUUGAGACAGGGUUUCUCUGUGUAGCUUUGGAGCCUAUCCUGGCACUCCCUCUGGAGACCAGGCUGGCCUCGAAUUCACAGAGAUCCGCCUGCCUUUGCCUCCUGAGUGCUGGGAUUAAAGCCAUGUGCCAACGCCCAGCCCAGAUUAGGUUUUCAAUGCACAAAUGGGAGAAAUUUAAAUCAUAGUCAUUUCCUUUUUUUUCUAAGGUAUAAAGGUGGAUUCAUGACAAAAAUUACCUGCCAACCAGUCAUUUCCUUUAACAGCUUAACUAAAAUAUAAAUACAAUAGUCUGCAUAUUUUUAAUGAAAUAUAUACUUUGAUAAGUGCGAAGGUGUCCUCACACAUCCAGCCACCACUACAAUCAUGGUGUGGGACAAUUUCUGUUUUAUCCAUUUGGUGUCUACUCUCCUUUACCUCGAUUUCUGUCUGUUAACUUCUAGAUUAGAAUAUUAUCCUCUUUGCUUCUCUUUUAUUUACUACCUGUAGUUUCAGUCUUUUGUUAAUUUAAUAAUUUACUUAAUUAGACAUCACUUUACAUACAGAACAAAGCUCUACAAUAGUGAACUUCUACUUCUCCUAAGCUGCCCUGUGUGAUAUUUUAGUCAUGCUUUAUUUUAUAGGCUAUAAAGUUAUUAUACUGCAUUUGUUUUAAUAAACAAUUUAAAACCAAAUUAAAUAAGAUUAGUAGAAUAUUAAAUACCUACCUAUUUGUCUGUCACCUAGGUGUUCUUCCUUCUCUUCUGUGACUCUUGGUUCCUCCUGGCCUGAAAGGGUGGCUUUCACUGUGUCUUUUGCUAAAAGUCUUUCAGCUUUUUAUGUCUAAAAGAAUCGUUUUUUUUUUUUCUUUUUUGGAACAUACUUUUAUUGAGCCUAAAUUCUAGAUUGACAAUUUUGUCUACCCCCUUCCCACCACUCCUCAGCUGUAUUAGUCUGAUCCUCUUCAACUUGAGUACUCUAGGUUGUGUAAACUCUAUAUAGUUAGUACUCUGUGUUUCCUAUUACUCAAAUUAGUCUCCAUCCUUGCCUAAUGCUAGGGUUUUAGCACUCAUCAUUUUAUAUGUUUUGUCCCAUUUUAUUGUUGUUUCAGAAAAGAAUGCAAAUUCAGCCUUUGUUACUCUAAUUUGAUUGGAAACAGAUAUCUCCUCCUCCCCGUCACCACCUCCACCCCCACCAUCAUUAAAACAUGAAAUAAAGUAGAAAGGCCUUUGGGAAUUGUUACCUGUGAAUAACCAUCCUUUGCUGGCUGGCAACCAGAUGGUACUAUUUUUGGUCAGGAGUCCAGUCUCCUAGGCUUUGUGGACAGCAUUGACAAAUGAGCUCCUUUACAUUCUCCUUUGCUAAUGUCUGUCCAGUGCUAAACCCCCAAGCAGUCUUUUCCCAGUCCCUCACUCCACAUUCCUGUCUCCUUACAGUUCCUCCUUCCAGUUCACAAGCUGAGGCUCCAGACUCCUGAUUUAGCCUUAGGGCAGGAUCCAGAGCAUCCAUGGUUGGGAGAGAAACAUUAUCUUGCUGUUGGAAAUUUUGUUUUAUUAAGACAGGGUCUCAUGUCUCACAGACUGGCCUCACAUUCCUUAUGUAGCCAGGAAUGACAUUGGACUCCUGAUCCUCUCCAGUGCUGGGAUGAUAGGCAUGGUACCUCAUCUAGCCUAUGUUUGAGCUCUCUGGAGGUUUUCUGCCAAUUUUUUUUUAAUCCUACCAAAUGCAGUUGUUAUUGUUCGAUGGCCACAUUGUUUGUUGCUUGUAUUUUAUAGCUCUGUGUAUAUUCUGUCAGUGCAUAGGUGGCAGAGUUUUAUGGAUGUUUCUCCCCUUUACCAAAAGGCUAAGAGGGACACGAAUUCGGAAAACAAAACCAAAGUGAACCAAUACAUCUCCAAUUUGGAAUCAUUGGGCAUAAACCUCAUUUUGCAUACUUAAAUAUUUAGAUAAGAAAAAUUGUGCUGAUUUCUAUUGUGAACUCAAAUCUGUCAGGUUGGAGGAAGCUCAAAUGGAAUCAUGAGAGGGUUUCUUGUGAUUUCCCCCUAAGUUGUAGCCACAUAAGGGUGCUUAUGGUUUGGGAAGGUCCAUACAGCCGCUUGCCAUGUGUCCAUGCACUCGGUCUGGCUUACUAGCGUUAGCCACUUCUGACACUCAUGCUCCAGGCG
ensembl:lncRNA